CCUACGGGAGGCAGCAGUGAGGAAUAUUGGUCAAUGGCCGAGAGGCUGAACCAGCCAAGUCGCGUGAGGGAAGACGGCCCUACGGGUUGUAAACCUCUUUUGUCGGGGAGCAAAGCGAACCACGUGUGGUUCAUUGAGAGUACCCGAAGCAAAAGCAUCGGCUAACUCCGUGCCAGCAGCCGCGGUAAUACGGAGGAUGCGAGCGUUAUCCGGAUUUAUUGGGUUUAAAGGGUGCGCAGGCGGAGGUGCAAGUCAGCGGUAAAAUUGCGGGGCUCAACCCCGUACUGCCGUUGAAACUGCAGCCCUUGAGUGCGCGAGAAGUAUGCGGAAUGCGUGGUGUAGCGGUGAAAUGCAUAGAUAUAUGGAAGAACACCAGUGGCGAAAGCGGCUCGCUGGUCUGUAACUGACGCUGAGGUUCGAAAGCGUGGGUAGCAAACAGGAUUAGAUACCCCAGUAGUC
rnacentral:rRNA from 1 species